rnacentral:rRNA from 1 species
GACGAACGCUGGCGGCGUGCUUAACACAUGCAAGUCGAACGGAAAGGCCGUGCCUUGGUUCGGUGCUCGAGUGGCGAACGGGUGAGUAACACGUGAGUAACCUGCCCGGGAGUGGGGGAUAACUUCUGGAAACGGUAGCUAAUACCGGAUAGGAGCUCCUGCUGCAUGGCGUUGGCUGGAAAGUUUCGGCGGUUGGGGUUGGACUCGCGGCUUCUCAGCUUGUGGGUGGGGUAGUGGAAUAGCAAGGCUUUGACGGGUAGCCGGCCUGAGAGGGUGACCGGCCACAUAGGGACUGAGAUACGGCCAAGACUGCUACGGGAGGCAGCAGUGGAGAAUAUUGCACAAUGGGCGGAAGCCGGAUGCAGCAACGCCGGGUGCGGGAUGACGGCUUUCGGGUUGUAAACCGCUUUAGACUGUGACGAAGAGUGAGUGACGGUAAUGUGUAAAGAAGCACCGGCUAACUACGUG